UGCAAAGGCUCCCACUGACAUCGGGUUACUUGUUAGAAAAUCUUACCGCAUUUGGUGCUCCCGCAUUUGAUGUUUGCAUUUCGAAUGCACACAGCAAUAACACUAAGUGCAUGCAUACGACGAACGUCAUAAAAUCAGUUUUCUUCUAGCAAGUGGUGGACAAGGUGUAGUUCAAGCUCCUGCUAGUACUGUAGACGGCUAAAAGCCUUCAUCAUACUGCUGCGGAUUCGACGUUCAUGAGCCUACGCCGUACAUAAGUUUCGUGUGCUUCCGUUGCUUACAUAUUCAAUUGGAUUGAAACAUGAUAAGUGAAGAACUGGCGCUGCAACUAGAGAACCGUAAGGCAUCCAGGGAAGUUUUAUGCAGCUACUUUUCUAUCCUGUAGACCAAAGCCUAUCUUAGCGGAUCAACUAUCUUAAUGGUCACAGUACCGAAAGAA